AAAUUGAAGAGUUUGAUCAUGGCUCAGAUUGAACGCUGGCGGCAGGCCUAACACAUGCAAGUCGAACGGUAACAGGAAGAAGCUUGCUUCUUUGCUGACGAGUGGCGGACGGGUGAGUAAUGUCUGGGAAACUGCCUGAUGGAGGGGGAUAACUACUGGAAACGGUAGCUAAUACCGCAUAACGUCGCAAGACCAAAGAGGGGGACCUUCGGGCCUCUUGCCAUUGGAUGUGCCCAGAUGGGAUUAGCUAGUAGGUGGGGUAACGGCUCACC
rnacentral:rRNA from 1 species